AACGAACGCUGGCGGCGUGCUUAACACAUGCAAGUCGAACGCACCGCAAGGUGAGUGGCGCACGGGUGAGUAACGCGUGGGAAACUGCCUCUUGGUUCGGAAUCACACCGGGAAACUGGUUCUAAUACCGGAUACGCCCUUAGGGGGAAAGAUUUAUUGCCGAGAGAUGUGCCCGUGUUGGAUUAGCUAGUUGGUGAGGUAACGGCUCACCAAGGCGACGAUCCAUAGCCGGUCUGACAGGAUGAUCAGCCACACGGGGACUGAGACACGGCCCUGACUCCUACGGGAGGCAGCAGUGGGGAAUAUUGGACAAUGGGGGAAACCCUGAUCCAGCAACGCCGCGUGAGUGAUGAAGGUCUUCGGAUUGUAAAGCUCUUUUGGCAGGGACGAUGAUGACGGUACCUGCAGAAUAAGCUCCGGCUAACUGCGUGCCAGCAGCCGCGGUAA
rnacentral:rRNA from 1 species